GAUGAACGCUGGCGGCGUGCCUAAUACAUGCAAGUCGAGCGAACGGACGAGAAGCUUGCUUCUCUGAUGUUAGCGGCGGACGGGUGAGUAACACGUGGAUAACCUACCUAUAAGACUGGGAUAACUUCGGGAAACCGGAGCUAAUACCGGAUAAUAUUUUGAACCGCAUGGUUCAAAAGUGAAAGACGGUCUUGCUGUCACUUAUAGAUGGAUCCGCGCUGCAUUAGCUAGUUGGUAAGGUAACGGCUUACCAAGGCAACGAUGCAUAGCCGACCUGAGAGGGUGAUCGGCCACCCUGGAACUGAGACACGGUCCAGACUCCUACGGGAGGCAGCAGUAGGGAAUCUUCCGCAAUGGGCGAAAGCCUGACGGAGCAACGCCGCGUGAGUGAUGAAGGUCUUCGGAUCGUAAAACUCUGUUAUUAGGGAAGAACAUAUGUGUAAGUAACUGUGCACAUCUUGACGGUACCUAAUCAGAAAGCCACGGCUAACUACG
rnacentral:rRNA from 1 species